rnacentral:rRNA from 1 species
GACGGAGGGGGCUAGCGUUGUUCGGAAUUACUGGGCGUAAAGAGCAUGUAGGCGGAUUAGUAAGUUGGAAGUGAAAGCCCGGGGCUUAACCUCGGAACUGCUUUCAAAACUGCUAGUCUAGAGUGUGGUAGGGGGUGACGGAAUUCCUAGUGUAGAGGUGAAAUUCUUAGAUAUUAGGAGGAACACCGGUGGCGAAGGCGGUCACCUGGGCCACAACUGACGCUGAGAUGCGAAAGCGUGGGGAGCAAACAGGAUUAGAUACCCCGGGUAGUCC